rnacentral:lncRNA from 1 species
GUUUGAUCCCAUUUAUGCUUAUAUUUUUAGUUACAGUCAUUACUCAUUAGUAAUGGAGUGUUUGAUAUAGUUAAGGGUCCGUUUGUUGAAUGUAAAAUCAAAAAAUUAAUUUAGUGGACAAAAAAUGGUGAAAUUUUUUUAUUAUGUUUUGUAAUGUUAGGUUUGUAAGAAAAAAUAAUAAUUUUUCAUCAAUAUUUAUUUGAUUAAAAAAAUUACAUUCGUUCGGUUUAGUGAAAAAAAUAAGAAAAAAAUUUCACGUGGCAUGCGCUUUUGUUUUCCGUCGAAAAACAACGAAAAACGGAAACUUUACUUUUUUCCUCAUAUCUAUUAAAAUAUACUUUUACAAAAAAAAAUUAUGUGGAACCAAACAAAUAGUAGAAAAAUAUUUUUCAUACCGAAAAUAAUUCAUCGGUCCGUUUUCUGCCGAACUAAUUAAACACUCCCCAAAAGUUUAGAACUAGUAUAUAUAGCAAAAAACUAAAAUAUAAUUUUUU